UACAGAGGUCCCAAGCGUUGUUCGGAUUUACUGGGCGUAAAGGGUGCGUAGGCGGUCGGGUAAGUCUGGUGUGAAAUCUCCGAGCUUAACUCGGAAAUGGCAUCGGAUACUAUCCGGCUUGAGGGUUGGAGGGGGGACUGGAAUUCUCGGUGUAGCAGUGAAAUGCGUAGAUAUCGAGAGGAACACCAGUGGCGAAGGCGAGUCCCUGGACAACUCCUGACGCUGAGGCACGAAAGCCAGGGGAGCAAACGGG
rnacentral:rRNA from 1 species